AGUGAACGCUGGCGGUAGGCCUAACACAUGCAAGUCGAACGGCAGCACAGUAAGAGCUUGCUCUUACGGGUGGCGAGUGGCGGACGGGUGAGGAAUACAUCGGAAUCUACUUUUUCGUGGGGGAUAACGUAGGGAAACUUACGCUAAUACCGCAUACGACCUACGGGUGAAAGCAGGGGAUCUUCGGACCUUGCGCGAUUGAAUGAGCCGAUGUCGGAUUAGCUAGUUGGCGGGGUAAAGGCCCACCAAGGCGACGAUCCGUAGCUGGUCUGAGAGGAUGAUCAGCCACACUGGAACUGAGACACGGUCCAGACUCCUACGGGAGGCCGCAGUGGGGAAUAUUGGACAAUGGGCGGAAGCCUGAUCCAGCCAUACCGCGUGGGUGAAGAAGGGCUUCGGGUUGUAAAGCCCUUUUGUUGGGAAAGAAAAGCAGCAGGGUAAUACCCCGCUGUUCUGACGGUACCCAAAGAAUAAGCACCGGCUAACUUCGUG
rnacentral:rRNA from 1 species